GCUCUGUGUGUCAGCUGCCUUAACGCAACCAUGGGCUUAGCAGCCAAUGGUGGAACUACACCCCUCUGACACAGAAAGACUUUUCCAAGAGACUUUACAUGGCUAAAGAAACGUCUAUAUUUUCAGAGGAUCAUUUUUUUGGGGGUACAUCAACUUACUAGUCCGAACACUAAAAGGGUCCUUGUUUAAAACCUCACGUUUUAUAAAUUUUUAACAUUCACCAGUAUCCGAAUCCAGAGUUAUUAAACCAGGCAUGAUGAACGUGCAUG